rnacentral:rRNA from 1 species
AUUGAACGCUGGCGGCAUGCUUUACACAUGCCAGUCGAACGGCAGCGCGGGCUUCGGCCUGGCGGCGAGUGGCGAACGGGUGAGUAAUGCAUCGGAACGUGCCCAGUAGUGGGGGAUAGCCCGGCGAAAGCCGGAUUAAUACCGCAUACGACCUGAGGGUGAAAGCGGGGGACCGAAAGGCCUCGCGCUAUUGGAGCGGCCGAUGUCGGAUUAGCUAGUUGGUGGGUAAAGGCUUACCAAGGCGACGAUCCGUAGCUGGUCUGAGAGGACGACCAGCCACACUGGGACUGAGACACGGCCCAGACUCCUACGGGAGGCAGCAGUGGGGAAUUUUGGACAAUGGGGGCAACCCUGAUCCAGCCAUGCCGCGUGCGGGAAGAAGGCCUUCGGGUUGUAAACCGCUUUUGUUCGGGAAGAAAUCCUCUGGGCUAAUACCCCGGGGGGAUGACGGUACCGGAAGAAUAAGCACCGGCUAACUACGUG